rnacentral:rRNA from 1 species
CCAGGAGGUACGAAGCCGAAGGGAAACCAAGUCUGAAUAGGGCGAAAUGUAGUCGCUUUCAAUAGACCCGAAACUGGGUGACCUACCCAUGGGCAGGAUGAAGUUACCGUAAAAGGUAAUGGAGGUCCGAACUCACAUCUGUUGAAAAAGGUGGAGAUGACCUGUGGGUAGCGGAGAAAUUCCAAUCGAACCCGGAGAUAGCUGGUUCUCCUCGAAAUAGCUUUAGGGCUAGCGUUUAUAGGAGUCUAAUGGAGGUAAAGCACUGAAUUGCCUAGGGGGCCUACAAGCUUACCGAAGCAUAUCAAACUAAGAAUGCCAUAAAGAUACCAUAAGCAGUCAGACUACGAGUGAUAAGACACGUGGUCAAAAGGAAAACAGUCCAGACCAUCAGCUAAGGUCCCCAAGUGUGUGUUAAGUGGAAAAGGAUGUGAGAUUUCAAAGACAACUAGGAUGUUGGCUUAGAAGCAGCCAUACAUUCAAAGAGUGCGUAAUAGCUCACUAGUCGAGAGAUCCUGCGCCGAAAAUGUCCGGGGCUAAAACACGUCACCGAAACUGUGGGAUUGUACUUCGUACAAUCGGUAGAGGAGCAUUCUUAAGUUGACGAAGCUGUACCGUAAGGAGCAGUGGAGAUUUAAGAAGAGAGAAUGCCGGAAUGAGUAGCGAGAUAGAAGUGAGAAUCUUCUAGGCCGAAUAUCCAAGGUUUCCGGGGUAAAGCUGAUCUGCCCCGGGUAAGUCGGGACCUAAGGCGAGGCUGAGAAGCGUAGUCGAUGGACAACAGGUUGAGAUUCCUGUACCUCAUACAAACAGAACUGUGGGGACACGGAAGGGUAGGAAGAGCCGGGAAAGGAAAGACCGGUUCAAGCAUAAAGACAAGUCUGGGAGGUAAAUCCCCUAGAUGAUGUUGAAAUGUGAAGAGGAGCGAAGAUAGAAGUAGCGAAGCUUCCGAACCCAUGCCGUCGAGAAAAGCCGCUAUUGUUUUGUAUGAGCCCGUACCGUAAACCGACACAGGUGGAUGAGGAGAGAAUCCUAAGGCCGACGGGAGAAGCGUUGUUAAGGAACUCGGCAAAAUGACCCCGUAACUUCGGGAGAAGGGGUGCCUGAGCAAUCAGGCCGCAGAGAAAUGGCCCAAGCAACUGUUUAUCAAAAACACAGGUCUAUGCAAAACCGUAAGGUGAAGUAUAUGGGCUGACGCCUGCCCGGUGCUGGAAGGUUAAGGGGAGACGUUAGGAGCAAUCCGAAGCGUUGAACUUAAGCCCCAGUAAACGGCGGCCGUAACUAUAACGGUCCUAAGGUAGCGAAAUUCCUUGUCGGGUAAGUUCCGACCCGCACGAAAGGCGUAAUGAUUUGGGCACUGUCUCAACAAUGCACCCGGUGAAAUUGAAAUACCAGUGAAGAUGCUGGUUACCCGCGCCAGGACGGAAAGACCCCAUGGAGCUUUACUCUAGCUUGAUACUGGGACUCGGUAAUGCAUGCACAGGAUAGGUG